AUACGUAGGUGACAAGCGUUAUCCGGAUUUACUGGGCGUAAAGGGCGUGUAGGCGGUCUUGCAAGUCAGAAGUGAAAUUCCUGAGCUCAACUCGGGCGCUGCUUCUGAAACUGCAGGACUUGAGUGCUGGAGGGGAUAGCGGAAUUCCUAGUGGAGCGGUAAAAUGCGCAGAUAUUAGGAAGAACACCGGUGGCGAAGGCGGCUAUCUGGACGGUAACUGACGCUGAGGCGCGAAAGCGUGGGGAGCAAACAGGAUUAGAUACCCUGAUAGUCCACGCCGUAAACGAUGAAUACUAGGUGUAGGGGGUAUCGACUCCCUCUGUGCCUCAGUUAACACAAUAAGUAUUCCGCCUGGGGAGUACGGCCGCAAGGUUGAAACUCAAAGGAAUUGACGGGG
rnacentral:rRNA from 1 species